rnacentral:rRNA from 1 species
GAUGAACGCUGGCGGCGUGCCUAAUACAUGCAAGUCGAGCGAACGGACGAGAAGCUUGCUUCUCUGAUGUUAGCGGCGGACGGGUGAGUAACACGUGGAUAACCUACCUAUAAGACUGGGAUAACUUCGGGAAACCGGAGCUAAUACCGGAUAAUAUUUUGAACCGCAUGGUUCAAAAGUGAAAGACGGUCUUGCUGUCACUUAUAGAUGGAUCCGCGCUGCAUUAGCUAGUUGGUAAGGUAACGGCUUACCAAGGCAACGAUGCAUAGCCGACCUGAGGGGGUGAUUGGCCACACUGGAACUGAGACACGGUCCAGACUCCUACGGGAGGCAGCAGUAGGGAAUCUUCCGCAAUGGGCGAAAGCCUGACGGAGCAACGCCGCGUGAGUGAUGAAGGUCUUCGGAUCGUAAAACUCUGUUAUUAGGGAAGAACAUAUGUGUAAGUAACUGUGCACAUCUUGACGGUACCUAAUCAGAAAGCCACGGCUAACUACGUG